AGAGUCUGAUCCUGGCUCAAGAUUGAACGCUGGCGGCAUGCCUUACACAUGCAAGUCGAACGGCAGCACGGGAGCAAUCCUGGUGGCGAGUGGCGAACGGGUGAGUAAUGCAUCGGAACGUACCUGGUAGUGGGGGAUAGCCCGGCGAAAGCCGGAUUAAAUACCGCAUACGACCUGAGGGUGAAAGCGGGGGAUCGCAAGACCUCGCGCUACUGGAGCGGCCGAUGUCAGAUUAGCUAGUUGGUGGGGUAAGGGCCUACCAAGGCGACGAUCUGUAAGCUGGUCUGAGAGGACGACCAGCCACACUGGGACUGAGACACGGCCCAGACUCCUACGGGAGGCAGCAGUGGGGAAUUUUGGACAAUGGGCGCAAGCCUGAUCCAGCCAUGCCGCGUGCGGGAAGAAGGCCUUCGGGUUGUAAACCGCUUUUGUCAGGGAAAGAAAUCUUCUGGGUUAAUACCUCGGGAGGAUGACGGUACCUGAAGAAUAAGCACCGGCUAACUACGUGCCAGCAGCCGCGGUAAUACGUAGGGUGCGAGCGUAAAUCGGAAUUACUGGGCGUAAAGCGUGCGCAGGCGGUUUUGUAAGACAGAGGUGAAAUCCCCGGGCUCACCCUGGGAACUGCCUUGUG
rnacentral:rRNA from 1 species